rnacentral:tRNA from 1 species
AGGAUUUUAGUUAAUAAUAACAUUUAAAUUGCAUUUAAAAAUUAUACAUCCAUAUGUAUAAAUCUUA